UAAUAGCCCCGAUUGCAACGGCAUCCUUUUAAAAUGGGCAUUGAGGUUCUCGAAAUGAUCAUUUUAAAAGAUACAGUGGAAAGCGGGAAUAGCU
rnacentral:sRNA from 1 species